rnacentral:rRNA from 1 species
GACGAACGCUGGCGGCGUGCUUAACACAUGCAAGUCGAACGGAAAGGCCCUGCUUUUGUGGGGUGCUCGAGUGGCGAACGGGUGAGUAACACGUGAGUAACCUGCCCCUGACUUUGGGAUAACUUCAGGAAACUGGGGCUCAUACCGGAUAGGAGCUCCUGCUGCAUGGUGGUGGUUGGAAAGUUUCGGCGGUUGGGGAUGGACUCGCGGCUUAUCAGCUUGUUGGUGGGGUAGUGGCUUACCAAGGCUUUGACGGGUAGCCGGCCUGAGAGGGUGACCGGCCACAUUGGGACUGAGAUACGGCCCAGACUCCUACGGGAGGCAGCAGUGGGGAAUAUGGCACAAUGGGGGGAAGCCUGAUGCAGCAACGCCGCGUGCGGGAUGACGGCCUUCGGGUUGUAAACCGCUUUCGCCUGUGACGAAGCGUGAGUGACGGUAAUGGGUAAAGAAGCACCGGCUAACUACGUG